CCCCCCCCCCCUCUCUCUCUCUCAUCCGAUUUUCGGCAUGUUAGAUCUCCGGCGUGUUUAACGGUUUCUUUUCUCUCUCUUUUUUCAUAUCUCUACUAGUAUUACUAUUUUCUUGGUGGUUCUUGGAAGUAAUCUUUCUUUUCCUUUAAACUACUACUAUGUUUUUUGUAAAUCCAAAUAGUCUAGUUUCGUCUGAUUUGUUGAUUUAGUUCAUCUCUACCUAUCAAGAUUUGAUUAAUUACCGGAAAUCUAACACGGGUUUUUUCAUUUCUUGAUUUAUUAUUAGUAUUGUCUUAAUCUGACAUGGGUUGUCUUUCUUCCCCGGAAUCUAACCGUUGGUGAGUCACAAAAUCAGUUUGUGUUUUUCGAUUUUUUGAUUUGCGAAAAACUGAUUUGUUUCUGCAAAACAAAAAGGAGUGUUGUUUUUUUUUUUUUGUUGUAUGAAAAUGAGUUUUUUACAUAGUUGGAUUCUUGUACGGUACCCUAACGACAUCGCUUUACGAUUUGGCCACUGGUAACAGGCCACAUCAGCAUAUCCCCCAUGGCCUUGGCCUUGCUCAGGCUCCAUCUGAAUCUUUAAUUUCUCUAUUAUUUUUAUUCUAUAUAUAUGUACACUUCAAUGUUUUCUGUAAUUUUUUGAGCUCUUGCUUAAAAUGGAUGUGUAUACCUAUUACCUCUCUCUCCUCUCUUUAUACUUUCUCUCUCUUCAUCCUCUUGGUUGAUGUUGUUGCGCAUGGAUUGAUUGACAGUCGUCGUUUGCUGGUGUAGCAUCAUCAAGAUUCACAUUCAAAUGCACGGUGGUCGUUAGUGGUGUGAUAUGAUAUUGUAAUCAAUCUCUCUCUCUCUCUCUGCAAGAGCUUUUUGAAGAUGAGAAUCUUGAUGAUGCUGCAUCGGCAAUAAACGACUACCUACCUAAAUAUAUAUAGGAUGAUCAUUUUGGCCCUGCCUCGCUCACUCAACUCUAUUUGUAUAUGCGAGUUUGACUUGCAACAAAUGUGCUACUUUGCAUUUCAACAAGGAAAAUCAAAGCAAAUUACAGAAUCAGGUACAACUCUAUCAGUGUGAUCGGUUUCUUUAUCCCUAUUAUAUUCCAACAAUAUUGUUCAUAAUAAGAUAAAGAAAAACAAAAGGGCUGGUAUGAGUCACUGUAGAAGGAUUGAUGAAGAUGGGGAUUGGAUAUUCUCUAGAGGAGAAAGAGACAGAUUUGCAGAUGAUGCAUGUGCAAUAAAUUAUUUACUACAGAAAGGCUGGAUUUUUUUGAUAACCGGGUGUUAGGAUCAACUUAUAUUCAAUUCGACCAAUCCCGGAGCCCUAAAGUUAAUAAUAGGGCAAAACUCCAGUAGUCCCAAGGUUUGAAAUGUUUGACCUUUGUAGAAUUCGACCCCGCAACCUCUUGACUGUCACAGGUUCUGGCAUCGACAAAUUGAAUAUACGAUCAAAAUGACACCAAAAAAAAUUGUUAGCAGUUCAUCCAGCAGAGGCCAAGUAAACCGCUACAACAAAUUGGAUAUGGCAGCUGUUGCCAAUCACUGGUGAAAAUUGGUACUGCAGAUUGACGCAUAUAAGAUUAGAAACCCUACAAGCCAAGGGUUUAGGGUAUCAUAUAGGAUGAAGAAAAUGAGGUCAAAUGGAUAAUGUACGAUCAAGAUUCGAUGUGGUAUUGCCUUCUUAAAGUUGUGCUUGAAUAGAUUUGCAUUUAAAAAAGAAAAACAGAAGGAUAAAUGAAGUGGAAUCCAUUUAUUUAUUCCUACUUAAUUUUUAGAGAGAUUGUUUAGAUCCCCAACCCACAUUUUUUUUACAGCCAGUGAUUUGGGGAUUUUGUGCUCUCGUGUAGCUGAUCAUGAUUGCAUUUGUGUUGUAGUGAAGUGUUAAUUACCACCUGUACUUUAUGUUUUAAAUAUUAAUUCAUUUAAAAGUUAUUUAUUUAUUUAUGUAAUA